rnacentral:rRNA from 1 species
AUUGAACGCUGGCGGCAUGCUUUAUACAUGCAAGUCGUGCGGCAGCGCGGGGGCAACUCUGGCGGCGAGCGGCGAACGGGUGAGUAAUACAUAGGAACGUAUCCUGAAAUGGGGGAUAGCUCGGCGAAAGCCGGAUUAAUACCGCAUACGCUCCACGGAGAAAGCAGGGGAUCGCAAGACCUUGCGUUUCUGGAGCGGCCUAUGUCUGAUUAGCUAGNGGCGGGGUAAUAGCCCACCAAGGCGACGAUCAGUAGCUGGUCUGAGAGAUGAUCAGCCACACUGGGACUGAGACAC